rnacentral:rRNA from 2 species
GACGAACGCUGGCGGCGUGCCUAACACAUGCAAGUCGAACGUGAGUGUCUUUUUUCGCAAGAUCAAAGACAUUUGAGUGGCGAACGGGUGAGUAACACGUGAGUAACUCGCCUUCCGGUGGGGGAUAACUGCCCGAAAGAACAGCUAAUACCCCAUAUGCUCACUGACCGCAGGGUCAGGGAGGAAAGUGGGCUCCGCAAGGAGCUCGCGCCAGAAGAGAGGCUCGCGCCCCAUCAGCUGGUUGGUGAGGUAACGGCCCACCAAGGCGAUGACGGGUAGCUGGUCUGAGAGGAUGGUCAGCCACACUGGGACUGAGACACGGCCCAGACUCCUACGGGAGGCUG